rnacentral:rRNA from 1 species
GACGAACCGUGCGAACGUUGCUCGGAAUCACUGGGCGUAAAGGGCGCGUAGGCGGCUGUUCAAGUCGGGGGUGAAAUCUCCAAGCUUAACUUGGAACUGCCGUUGAUACUAUCUGUCUUGAAUAUUGUGGAGGUGAGCGGAAUAUGUCAUGUAGCGGUGAAAUGCUUAGAUAUGACAUAGAACACCAAUUGCGAAGGCAGCUCACUACUCAAUCAUUGACUCUGAGGCACGAAAGCGUGGGGAUCAAACAGG